AAUAUUCAUGUAGAGUGUAUAAAUAAAUUGAUAAAAUAUCUUACAUUUCAUUCAUUUUAUGUCUUCAGUUGGUGACAUCAGCAAAAAAAUGACGUCUCUGCGGACACAGUAUUCCAGAUUGGUCAACCCUCUACCUAGUGGAUCUGGUGCAAAAAAGACCCCCGGCAGGAAUGGAUUCUAAAGAAUCUAGAUUUCUUGGCACGCCAAGAUUGAUUCGAUUCAACAGGAUGAUGGAGAAGAUGAUGAAGCAGAUGAUAACACCAGGGUGGCUGUGGUGCAAGAUGACAUCCCGAGACCAUCUGCAAACACCCCGGACAACAAAAAGAAAA